CAGUAUGGCAAAUUCUAUUUGGGUGCCGCCGUUCUGUGACCUUUUAGUAAUAGAUUCACCUUUAAGUAAGAAUAUCAACCAACAAAUAGCUUGUUUCCUACAUAUUGUCCAAAAUUUCAGAAUGCUCCCAUUCCAAAGAUUGCGAGUCAUAUAGGAAGUGCUUAGGUCCUAAAUACACAGUAUGGUGAAAGUAAUAUAAACUAUCGAUGUGUAUUUCAUAUAUAACAUCUCAUAGGGCACCCAAUAAAAUUCCUUGGCAGCUAAAUAGAUGAUAUACUGGAAGACUUGGAUGCUAAUGAUGCGUCAUGGUCAUGGGACGAUGUCUGCAGUUCAAGACGAAUUUUCAGCAGACAAUUUGGCAAGCUGUCAACGCCACUCACAGUUGAAGGGGGCGUGGCAGGUUGGAGGUUUUAAGAGGGUAAGAGAAUCGACAACUCGGAGCUAAUGAUUGUCUGCGGAAGGACAUCAAUCAAUCCGAAGUUAAAGCAAAACCACCCUCA